ACAAUUAUUAACAAUGUCCGCAAAACCCUUUGGCGGGCGUCAAUAAGCCCUUUGUGGUAUACUUAUCGCACUUAAUAAACGCUAACUUUUGAACACUUGACUGGCGGGCUGCCGUCGGUCACGGUGUGAGUAGUGGUGCCAAUACGACUUAGGUGGUAUCGUUACUUCAGAGUUGCCGAAUCGGGUCGAUUACCGGUUCGGCCUGUUUUGGUAUGCAAAGUAAUAGGAGAAGAUAAAAUUAUGAAAAUGAUCGUUGGGUUAGGCAACAUUGGCGGCAAUAUGCCCAGACACGUCAUGGAUCCACUAGUAACGGCCGCCAGUGUGCUGGAAUUCGCCCUUUACGGGAGGCAGCAGUAGGGAAUCUUCCACAAUGGACGCAAGUCUGAUGGAGCAACGCCGCGUGAGUGAAGAAGGUUUUCGGAUCGUAAAGCUCUGUUGUUGGUGAAGAAGGAUAGAGGUAGUAACUGGCCUUUAUUUGACGGUAAUCAACCAGAAAGUCACGGCUAACUACGUGCCAGCAGCCGCGGUAAUACGUAGGUGGCAAGCGUUGUCCGGAUUUAUUGGGCGUAAAGCGAGCGCAGGCGGAAAAAUAAGUCUAAUGUGAAAGCCCUCGGCUUAACCGAGGAACUGCAUCGGAAACUGUUUUUCUUGAGUGCAGAAGAGGAGAGUGGAACUCCAUGUGUAGCGGUGGAAUGCGUAGAUAUAUGGAAGAACACCAGUGGCGAAGGCGGCUCUCUGGUCUGCAACUGACGCUGAGGCUCGAAAGCAUGGGUAGCGAACAGGAUUAGAUACCCUGGUAGUCCAUGCCGUAAACGAUGAGUGCUAAGUGUUGGGAGGUUUCCGCCUCUCAGUGCUGCAGCUAACGCAUUAAGCACUCCGCCUGGGGAGUACGACCGCAAGGUUGAAACUCAAAGGAAUUGACGGGGGCCCGCACAAGCGGUGGAGCAUGUGGUUUAAUUCGAAGCAACGCGAAGAACCUUACCAGGUCUUGACAUCUAGUGCCAUCUUCAGAGAUGAAGAGUUCCCUUCGGGGACGCUAAGACAGGUGGUGCAUGGCUGUCGUCAGCUCGUGUCGUGAGAUGUUGGGUUAAGUCCCGCAACGAGCGCAACCCUUGUUAUUAGUUGCCAGCAUUAAGUUGGGCACUCUAAUGAGACUGCCGGUGACAAAAAGGGCGAAUUCUGCAGAUAUCCAUCACACUGGCGGCCGCUCGAGCAUGCAUCUAGAGGGCCCAAUUCGCCCUAUAG
rnacentral:rRNA from 1 species